rnacentral:lncRNA from 1 species
CGCGGCCGGCUGGGCUCGGGGAGCUGCUGCGGCCGCCGCCGCCGCGCCGCUGUCUGUGGUAGCAUCUCAGCUUACACGCUGCUUUAAAGCCCUGCGGCCGGCACCGCGCGCCCGCUGACGCCGCCCCAGCCUUGCCCGCCGUAGCGCGGCGGCCCUGCCCGCGUCGCAGUACGAGCGGGCGGGCGGGCGGGGAGAGGCGGGAGGCGGGGGGUACCCGGGGCGGGGCGGCCGCAGAGCUUCAGGGCUCGCCUCAGGGCGCGAGCUCCCCUCAGGACAGCGGCGUGCGGGCAGCGGUCGUGAAAUGGCGGUUGGCCCCUUCCCUCCCUCUUUUCCCUCAAAACUGAAGGAGAGGUCUCUGAUUCUCCACAAAGAGAAAAGGAAAAACAUCUGUCAGUUUGGUAAUAUUUUAGGGAGGUGCUGCUGUUCCAAAAGGCUGUCCUUCGACUUACUGCAGAUUCUCACAUCUUGGCAUGCUGUCCCUGUCACUUCGAGUAAAAUCCAUGCUGCAGCCAUUUUUGGAUUUUGCCAAGAGUCUACAGAACAUGAAAACAAAAUAUAGACAGUUUUCUGACUCUUUCAGAAACUGUCUGAGAGUGCUGUGUGGCUGAACUCUCUGUACUUCAGGGAUCUCAAAAAGAAUUUGAUUCGUCAGAUAUUUCUCAAUGAAUUUCUCCUGAAAAAGGAGUGAGGCAAGUGACCAUAACACUUCAUGUAUCACUAAAGAUUUUUUCUGUGCUACCAUCAUGAAAUAUUGUGGGCUUGUGCUCUCCCCUCAUUGGUGUCACACAAUCAAUUAAACAGCCUGGAGCAUUCUAUACUCUUCAUAAAAUAACUUUCAUUUUUCUUCUUUCUUUGCUUAAGACACAGUUCUGGUCCCUAAAGUAAAAUGAGGAAAAACUAACACUUGAAAUUAUCCAUCACAUGUUUA